rnacentral:tRNA from 1 species
GGUGGGGUACCGAAGCGGUCAAACGGGGCAGACUGUAAAUCUGCUGGCUUAGCCUUCGUAGGUUCGAAUCCUCCCCCCACCA